AGACUAUUGGUGAGGUAUAGAAGAAGACUAUUGGUGAGGAAGAGAAGAAGAUGUGGUCGUUUAUAUAGGAGUGGGGUUGGAUUUGGUAUAGUUUAUUAAUAUAUAAGUAAUCGCGUUUUCGGUUUACUUAUAAAUCUAUAAAGGUCUUGCUUCUUCGGUUUUCUCUGUGGGUCGGGCCUACAAAUGUAUUAUGAGUUUUAUUUUUAAAUGAGAUUCAUCGCGUUAUAUGAAAACCAAAACAAUUAUAGUUUUUCCAUAUUGUAAACUGUCUUCGUUUAACAUGAGUUAAGAGUUCUUUUCAUCAUUGUCUCAGAUAAGUCUGAGUUAUAGAGUUGCGCCGUGUGUAUUAUAAUAUUUCACUUUUUGCUCGCUUCUUAAGCUGUCCACGUGUCUUUUUUGUGGGCCCCAACUCAUAUUGGUUUGGUUUGGUAAUUAGCAAAAGUCUUUUGAUUUUAUUUUUCUUGGUUCUCUGUGUUUGGUUACCAAACUCUGCCUUUUUGUCUUUCAGUAGAUUAGGGUUUUUGUGGUUAUCGUUCUUUCACUUUUCUUCAGCCUCCCCACCUCUCUAAAUUUGGUCAGCAAACACAAACUUUUCUUUCAGAUGUUAAAUAGUAGAAACCACCCUAGCAAACUCACCGCCACAAUCCCAGCAAACGCCGCCGCCUCUGAAGACCACCCCCUCCCUCCGCUUCCUUCCUUCCUUCCUCCAACAACGACCUCAAGAACAUCUCCGCGUCGACUGGAGCAAAAUCCAACUCAGACCCCGAGGAAUCAGAGGACGCCGUCAUGGACGAAGAUGAGGAAGACUUCGCCCUCGAACCUGAUCAGGAUUCUUCGAUCCGCACAUUCACCGCCGCUAGACUCCAGUUGCUGGAGCCAACGGUUCGAGUCGGAACACUAAGAUCAAGACGAAGAUCUUGACGGUAAAGCUUAGGCUGGCUUACGUUCAGUCUCGGCGAUUGUGUCGACGGAUAAACCCAUGAACUUCCAAGGAGAAUGUUCCUUUUGUUAGAACAACUUGUAAACCUUUUUCUUAGUUCGUCGUAAUUAUCAUCUGCUCUUAGAUAAACAUUUAUUCUCAUUUGUAUCUCGUCUGAGUUUAAUGAUGACUGGUAAUGGAACAGAAGGUUUGCAGUUGCUAUCCGGGAAGUAUAAAGAGAAGAGUCUGAAAUUAGAUUGAGUAUGCAAUGUAUCAACUGUUUAACCAUGGCGCUAUGAGCUUGGUGGUGAUCGACAUGAGAUCACUGAUCUGAUCGACAUUAGCGCGUGAUCCUUAACAUUUGUAAUAAUUCUUCUCAAUCAAUAAAGUGUUCUUAACUAUCUUGAUGAUUAACAAACUAACCGGUGGUUGUAUGAAAUCGAAACAAUACAAGUUAAAAGUUACUCACACAGAGCACGAGUUAAAUCAUGGUUUUGGUAUUUUAAAUAAAUUUACUCUUCUUUUGUGAGAAAUUUUACUCUUCGAAUUCAAUUUCAACUGCCAUGAAAUGCCAUGUGCCAUUUUGUACUUUACAAUUCUUUUGAUCAAUUUCCUUGUCCAAAGUGUACUCUUCUUUUGAAUCAAUUAAGGUUGCACUAUUGUACUCUUUUCUGUUCACCUUUUAAGUGUUUGGAAUAAACGGUUGAACAUGUUUAGGGUGAAGCUUCGAAGCCAAGAUAGUUUUAAAAGUAAAACCUCGUACAAUCACAAUCAACCAACUAAUUUUUGUUUUACCAAAAAACUAACUAAUUUUUUGCGGACUAAACCCACGGGUUGGAGUAUUACCUAAAACCACAGUUGAGUUUCUACACUGCUGCUAACUUGUAAAACGUAAUUAUGUUUCAUUUGUGAUCAAACUCAAUUCAUCAAAAUCAUUAAGAGUUGUUAACCACUUUAAUUGGUGCUUGUUAAUUAGUGAAAAUGCAUAAGCUUGUGAAGACUGAAAGCAGAAGAGUUGUAGCAAAUGUCAGCUUUCAUUCACCUAAAGUUCUCUCAGAUCUCAAAUACAUAUAACUAGUUCUCUCACACAAGCUUUAGAUCACCACCAAUACACAUUUUGUUUUCACUUUAUCUCUUAAGGUCAGGAGGCAACCAAAUGUUGCACAUCUAUAAGCUUAUUUACCGUUUAACAUUUGGUUUCCUCUUCUUUUUUUUCUCUCAUUUGGUUUCAGCUUACACGUUCAUAGAGUAAGCUUAAAACGUGCCUGUAUAUGAUGAUGUUAUUUUCAAAAAACACCAAAAUUUGAGGACAGAAAAAUUGAUUGAAAGCAAGUUUUAAUCACACCUGAAAGCAAGUUUUAAUCAACUUCUCUAACACACAUUCAAUUCAAAUAAAAUAUUUAGAACUGUGACGUCAUAUCUUACAUCUCUAGACAUUGAUUCAACAAACUUUAAAAAUCGAAGGGAUAAUCACUAAGAGCACCCGCAAUGGGAAUUCUUAAGGGGAGUCUUUAGGAAAAAAAUAAUUAAAAAUCAGUGGAUCCCACCGAAAAUUAAAGAUCAAAUCAUUAAAAUCUCUAAAUAAGGACUCUUUUUAGUGAAUCAUUGCCCUAUUUGCGGGUCCCCACGACAUGUGGCGACCAGCGAUUGGUUGAUAUUUUUUUUUAAAUUUGAAAAAAAAAAUACUUAAAAAAUCAAAAUACACUUUUUCUAAGGACUUCUCUUUGGAUAACACGAUUGCGGGUGCUCUAAGAAUCAAAAUCAUCCAGGAAAAAAUCUAAAAAAACACUGAAACGUAACCACGACAUAAAGUGAAAGACAAAGUACUCUUCCAGUGUCCAGUGAAAAUGCUAACAUAUUCAUGUCGACAUCCACAUUUUCAUUAAUGGCUCGUGACUCAUCCAUUGGUUGCCAUUAAAUAUAGAGAGAAAUCAAAAGUACACAUGUCGUCAUCUACAAAUCAUUGACUCGCCAAACGAAUCAUCAAUCGCCACAUGUAUCUCUUUUAUGCCCACCAAUUUAUUUUUUUCCAAAAUACAUCGUAAUAUCGUAUGCCUUAAUUUAAUUGGCAAUAAUUCUUCAAGGAACUAGAAACUCGAUAUGUAUCUUAUCUAAAUAAAUAAAAACUAUCGUAGAGCUUCGAUUUCGGAAACAACAUAUUCAACGUCUGAUUGAUAAUUAAUUAUGGAGAAAUUAUGUUACCAUUGGCCUAUAUUAUAAUUUUUUUUUUAAAACUUUUAAUUGUUAUUUUUUAGUAUCACUAGGUGAUUGUUUGUGCCUUGCACGAGUAUCUUUAUAAUUCGUAUACGUAGUAGCUAAGCUCGAAAUGAAUAUAACUUUAUCGAAUAAAUUUAAGAAUACAAUUUCAAAUUUGAAAACCAAUAAUUGUGAAAUAACAUAUAGACGUCCAUAGUUACAAUGCAUAAUAAUUUUCAAAUUAAUAAAUUUAUAUUAUAUUAUCUAAUCUAAAAAUAUUUAUAUAAUUAUCAACAUCGAACCAACCAACUAAUAUGGAAUGAACAUUUUGUGAUGUUCAGAAAAUCAAACAACUCAUAUGAUUGGGUUGGAUAUUACAUCUUAUUCCUUUUAUGGAAUACAUGACGAAAAAUUUGUCAUGCAUAUAGCAAAUGCUUUAUUUUACUAACUUUUAAUCAAAACCAUAAAUUAAAAGUUAAAAUAAAGCAUUUGCUAUAUGCAUGACAAUUUACACAAAAAAAACCCCAUUAAUUAUAGGGAUCCCUUAAUUAUAUACAUAAUAUGUUGUAAAAGAAAGGUCAAAAUUCGUAGGCUUGUCUCCUUCAGACGGUCACAGUUCUUAUGGUCUUAGAGACUGUUCAUUUAAAAUUUAAAUAAAUCCUACUCCCUCCGUUUUUAAUAUAAGUCGUUUUACAGCUAUAUGCACAUAGAUUAAAAAAAAUUAUUAAUUUCUUAUAUUUUCUAAACAAAAAUAUUAUUAAUUAUUUACCUAACCACAAUUCAACCAAUAGAAAAAUAGAAGAUAUAUUACCAUUGAUCAUACAACAUUAAUUAUUAAUAAAUUUUACAUAGAAAACCGAAAACGACAUAUAAUUUGGAACAAAAAAGUUUCUCUAAAACGACUUAUAUUAAGAAAUGGAGGUAGUAUAUCCGUAUGGUGGUUGAGUAGGUCUUGCGUUUGUCUCGACCCUAUUUAUUAACAAAAAACGUCUUUUGUUAAGAAAAAUGACAAUCUCACAAAUUUUGCUCUUCAUAAAUGUUUAUGUGAGAUUGUAUAUAUAUCGUACUCCGUGACAAGUGAAGGAUCUAAUUUUCUUUCUCAAAAUUAAAUUACUUGUCAAUUUUUUUUAUUUAUAACAUUAAUUAAUUACUUUAAAUUAAUUUGAUUAGUUUUAUAAAUGUUAUACUAUUAUUUAAAAUAUUUAUUAUAUGAAAUUUUAUAUUUUAGGCAUAUUGUAUUCAAUUUUUAGAAAGAUAACUAUAAUAUGUAAAAGUUUUUAUAGUAAUUUAAACUUGUAUUUAUUAUUCAAAAAAACAAAUCCAUACUAAAAUGUGGUUUUAGAAGCCCAUAUAAAUAAAAAAAAAUAUAAACUAUUAGGUCCAGUCCAGAAAACAAAACUAAUUCGAAUCCAAACAAAAACUAAUUUAGACCCAACAAAAGUAUUAUUGGACUUUAAGGCCUGGGCUAAAAGAUUCAAAAUAGUUACACGAAGAAGGAAUUGAAGCUGGUUUUAGGUGUGAUUGAGAUAUCAGUUUAGACCGACUAAGCUUUUGUGUCAGAUGUAGCAUGAGAUAAACAAAUUUUAUCUCAUUUAAAGAAUGUCAGCUCUCUGGCCGCCAUACCAUGUGAAGUCCGAUGGCCAAUCUAAAGUAAAUCCAUGUUUGAUAUCAUGAGCUCGAAUGUAUAUAGAAGAAAUGAUUGUCAAUCUUUUCUUUUCUUUCUACUUACCUUUGUCCACUGAGGAAAUGCUCUGAAGGGACUUCAGUCUUGCCAUGAAACCUUAUGCAAAUUAUGUCGGUAUUGUUGGCUAAUCGUCACCAAAAGGACUUCCUUUUUUCGCUAGAAUAACUACCAUGAUGUCGUCUCCACGGUUCUUAAGUUUAGGCUUCUACAAGUUUGUAUAAUAUGUUUUAAGAAGCUCAGUGGAAUUGUGAACUAUGCGAGGAUGUAUCUUUGGAAUAAGACCGAUUGGCCAUUGUUUCUUCCCCACACGGCAAGGUUUUCAUUCAUGCUUGAUAUUGCUUCAUUUCAACUGAAUAUAAAAUGAGAGCUUUUCUCCACAAAUUACUGAAGCAGCUUCUCGUUUUACUUAUUGGACCGAUCGAGUUUCCUUUUGUAUCAGUGGUGGAGAAAUAGAUUUAGAUGGCUAUUGGACAUUACCUCAUCAUGUCAGAUUGUUAUGGCUGAACAAAAUUGUUUACAUUGUUUGCAGUUUCAGUUGCCUCAAUUGUAAUUAGAAAGUUUCAGAAGUAAUUAAGUAGAUGUGUGUUACUCAUACGUCCAAUGAAAGGAAUAACAAACCGAAAUAUAUGAUGAUAUUUAUCCAAACCAGAACAUGCACUGAGAGACCAAUCUGUUCUAAUUAUGGGCAACAAAAGACAGAGAGCCAAAACACAAUGUGUCCGACAUCUCCACAGCAAUAGAAAUGCACGAUCAUGUUGCAGUGACUACUCUGUAUGUGAAAUACCUCAUCAUCUUCAUAAUCAACCACCAACACAGGAUACUCAUGUGGAGCGUCAACGUGCAUGUAGGACUGCCCGCUACGGUACACCCUGAGGCGGAUCACUGCACCACAGACGCAUUGGUAAUCCAUCUUCGUCAAGCCGCGAUCCCAGAAACACUCACGAAUGAUCGGUUGUGCUGCCAUGCUGCUACCAAAAAAAAAGAUAAAUAGCAUGUAUCAAUCGAAUCAUGUAAAAUAAACCCAUAGACAUUAGACAAACUGAUAGAGAGGCGGAAGCUUUAUUAACGAAUUCAAACUCAAACUCUCCAGGAGAAUUCGAAUUCAAGCUCGGAUCUCGUUCUUGACGAAACGUUGACGAAAACAAUAGGUUAAGGGUUCUCCUCUUGAAGCUAAGAUAGCUCGAUUUACAAAAGCAAUGUAUUAAAUUCAACGUGAGUACUACAAAGAUCUUAAGAAGAAUAUAUAUAUAUAUAUAUAACCUAAAUAGAUAACUCCUAAUCAUAACUGGAAAAUAACUUGUAAUUAUCUCUGAAAUAAAAGAAAACCAAAACAACUAGAAUAUCCUUUGCUUGGCGCGCAAGUAAGACGAACAGCUUGUAAGUCUUCAACGGCUAAUAGAUGCACUCCAUCAGGUCCCUCCCGGUGAGGAAAGCUUCGUCCCUGAAGCUAAAGGCUCAUUCUCCCCAUGAAAGCGCGACAGAUGCUUGAUGUAAAACACGUCGUGCAUACGGAGGUGAGUAGGAAGACGAACCCGAUAGGCAUUGGGGUUGAUGCAUUCAUCGACUUCCACAGGACCAAUCUUCCAUGAACGUAGCUUGUUAUAUUAAUGCAGAGGCAUCCUGUCUCUAGUAAGAUACACCCAAACCAGAUCACCUAUCUUAAAAAUGACCUCGCGGCGCUUGACAUCAGCGGCCUCCUUAUACUUCGAUGUAGCCUGUUCCAGCUUAUCCCGAGCACUACGAUGGAGAGCUUCUAACUCUGUAACAAAAUCAAUUGCCUCUCCAUGAUGACGCCCCUUGUCUGGUAAGACUGCUAAGUCCAGAGGACAACGAGGUACCAUCCCAUAGAUCCCCUGAAAGGGGCUGUAACCCAAUGAUCGAUUGACGGCAUGGUUAUGUGCAAACUCAUCCUUGCACAACUUGGAGUCCCAAGACUUAAUGUUAUCGCCAACAAGACAGUGAAGGAGAUCACCCAGAGCACGAUUUGUAACCUCAGUCUGACCAUCCGUGUGCGGGUGAUACGCAGUGCUCAUGUCAAGACUAGUACCCAGCAGUUUCCAUAGAGAACGCCAAAAAUGGCUGAGAAACCGAGUGUCUCUGUCCGAGACAAUAGAGGACGGAAGACCAUGUAACCUAUAGAUUUGUCGAAAGAACAGUGUAGCAACGUUGACCGUAUCGGUUGUCUUCUUGCAGGGAUAAAAUGAGCCAUCUUCGAGAAGCGAUCGACGACGACAAAGAUGGAAUCAAAACCCCGUUGUGUCCUUGGUAAACCAAGUACAAAAUCCAUACUCACAUCAGUUCAUGGCUGUGUAGGAAUAGGCAAAGGAAUGUAGAGACCCACAUUCGUCGCUUUUCCUUUGGCCUGUUGACACACUCGGCACCAUGCAACAAAACGCUCCACAUCUCUCCGUAGAGUGGGCCAAAAAUACGAGUGAGAGACCAACUGUAAUGUACGGUCCCUGCCGACAUGACCUUUUUUGUGAAGUUCGCUGAUGAUCUGGAGCCGCAAACUACACUCAGGCACGCAAAUACGAAGGUAUUUGAACAAAAAGCCAUCAUCCAAUGUGAAAUUAGACGCGAUCCCAGCCUGGAUGUCAUGUAGAAUCCUUGCAAAGAAGGGGUCUGUCGGAUAUAACUCUGCCAAAGAAGAAAAGCCGAUCACAGAGGUAUGCAUAGUGGACAGCAGUGUGUGACGACGACUUAGAGCAUCGGUGUGAAAGUAAACUGCUGCAAGUAUGCUAUCCAAGACGCAUGUCGAGAAGAUACUUUCGCUUGGCUGUCAAGAUGGCGCAGGGCAUCAUGAUCUGUGAAUAAUAUAAACUCCUUGUGUACCAAAUAGUGGCGCCAAUGUUUCACCGCUUGCACUAUAGCAUAAAAUUCCACGUCAUAAGUGGAGUAACGUCUCCGAGCUCCAGCGAGCUUUUCGCUAUAAUACGCUAUGGGUCGACCCUUCUGGUUCAAAACGGCGCCAAUGCCGAGCUUAGAUGCGUUGCAGUGCAGUUCGAAUGUGGUUUCGAAUCAGGGAGAACCAGAAUCGGGGCCGUGGUGAGAUUUUCCUUGAUCAGUUCGAAGGCUGAGGCCGCUUCAGGAGUCCACGAAAAAGCACCAUCACGCAUACAACUUGUUAAGGGUGCCAUUAUGAUACUGACAUGAUUCACAAACCGCCGGUAAAAAGAUGCCAGACAAUGGAAGCUUCGUACCUCCGAGACCGUCUUUGGUGUUGGCCAAGAACGGAAAGCUUCAAUCUUAGAAGCAUCAACAGAAAGCCCCUUGGACGAGACGACAUACCCCAAGAAAAGAACUUCCUCGACACCAAACUCGCAUUUGUGACGUGCUGCAAAAAACUUCUCCUGUCGUAAGAUCAACAACACUUGGCGGAGAUGGUUGAUGUGGUCCGACUCGGAAGCACUAAAAAUAAGGAUGUCGUCGAAAUAGACGACCACAAAUUUACCGAUGAAUGGACGCAAGGCUUGUUUCAUAAUCCUCAUAAACGUACUGGGUGCGUUGGAUAAGCCAAAUGGCAUGACAAGCCACUUGAAUAAUCCCUCUCUGGUCUUGAAUGCUGUUUACCAUUCAUCGCCAGGUCUGAUACUGAUCUGGUGAUAUCCACUUUUGAGGUCGAUUUUGGAGAAGAUGACAGCGGAGCCAAUCUGAUCGAGCAGGUCGUCUAAGCGUGGAAUAGGGAAACAAUAGCGUACUGUGAUUUAGUUGAUGGCGCGACUGUCCACACACAUGCGCCAAGUUCCAUCCUUUUUAGGAAUGAGUAGAGCUGGUACCGCACAUGGGCUGAUACUCUCACGCACGUAUCCUUUGCCUAACAGAUCUUCAACCUGCCGUUGCAAUUCCUCAUGCUCAGUCGGGCUCAUUCUGUAAUGGGGUCGAUUGGGAAAAGAGGCGCCUGGGACCAGGUCGAUCUGAUGCUGUAUAUCUCGUAACCGAGGUAGACCCGUUGGGAGAUCGGCAGGGAACACGUCUGUAAACUCUGCCAGAACCCGUGCCAGUGUAGGGCUCGUCGUGGUGGUGAGUGUUCGUUGAGAAGAAGCCGGUAAUAGCGCAAAUGCGACACCUUACUGCUUUAGCUCUGCAAGAAAAACAGAGUACGAACAGAGCAAUGUUGUGUUGCAUGUUGUUGAAGUUUGAUGCUGGAGUUGACGCGGUGGUGAAGGUGGAGCGGGAAGAGCGUCCUCUCGAGAAGGUAGUAACACGAUUUUGUGAGCUUCCCAGUAAAAGGUGUAAGUGUUCAGCGCACCAUCGUGAAUGAUUUUUCUGUCAAACUCCCACGGUCGUCCCAACAACAAGUGGCUGAUAUCCAUCGGGGCGAUGUCACAGUAUGUGCAAUCUUUGUAGAGUUCUCCAAUCGAGAAAGCCACCAGAGCACGAUGUGUGAUGCGUAUGUUGACUCUCUCGUCAAGCCAACCCAAUGUAUAAGGCGCAGGAUGAGGUUCUCGUGUGAGGCCAAGCUUGGCGACUGCCUCCUCAGAGAUUACAUUGGGACAGCUUCCAGAAUCAAUGACGAACGUGCAAAGACGGUCUUUGAUGAUGCAGGUUGACUUGAAUAUGUUCGUGCAAAGCCACAUGUUAUCUUGUCGACGAGGAGCCGCACAAGAGUGUCGAACCACGAGCAACUUGACAGUGCCUGCCUGAUCCGGCGUUGUCGUAUCUUCGACGAUGUCUUCAUCUUCAUAAGAAUCAUAGACAGCCUCAUCCUCGCCGGUUUUGUCAUCUGCGAUCAGACCACGCCGAGUGUUAUGCGGGCAAGCCGCUUGUCGGUGACCCUGCUCCCCGCAAGAGAAACACUUUAUCGCAGGUAUGCGAUUUGAGCGUCUCAAUUAUUGAUCAUCUUGUGUCGGCUGCGGUCGUGUCGCCGUCGUGCCUGUGUCAGAGUCCUUGGCAUGCGUUGAUGGCACAGACGAAGUAGACUCUGACGUCCGAAGUUUUGACGCUGGAGAAGACAAAUUGGAGGAUGAAGAACGUGAUUCCUGUUCAAAGGAGUCAACACGGCGGUGAGCCUCCGCAAUUGACGUUGGAUCGAACUGGGCCAAUGAAUUUUGAAGUUGAGGCUGAAGUCCUCCAAUGAAUCGCGACACGAGUUGAUCUUCACUGUCAUAUAUCUCUGUUCUUGUCAAUAACAGAGAGAAUUCCUCAGCAUACUCUUCCACAGAUCGUGAUCCUUGUUUCAAGUUUUGAAGCUUGUUGUAAGUAAGACGAUCGUAGUUGUGUGGUAGGAAAGUGGCAAGAAGGUGCUUCUUAAGCUUCUCCCAAGUCUGUAUUGGAGUUCGACCUGUCCUGCUGCGCGUGAUUUUCAACUGCUUCCACCACGAAGCCGCAUGACCACGAAAUCGCAUCGCAACCAAUGGUACUCUGCGCUCCUCAGGAACCUGUUUGAAAUCCAGAAUUUCCUCAACUGCCACCAUCCAAUCCAGGAGUGUGUCACCACGAACUCCGCCUAGGAACUCCGGGAUCUCUACCUUGAAACCCGCUUCCCAGCGCUGAUCUUGGAGACGUCCUCGAUCGAUGACCUCAGCAGGUCGUUGAUUAUGGUGUCGUUGAUCACCAAACGGUCCUAUCCUUGCAAACGGAUUAACCCUAACAUCCUCAUUCUAUGCGUCGUCGUCCUCGUUGAUAGGAGGAAGUUGAGCAGCGAAUCUCUGUGCUAGCAUGUCUCCCAUAGCUGAAUGGUGGUCUGAAUGUUCUCUUUCAUAGCUGUAAGCGUUUGACGAAGUUCCGUCCAAUCUGUAACAUCACGGUUGUUCGGAGCGUCGUUUUGUUUCUUUGGCGGCAUUGUUGCAAGGAGAAGUUGAUUCCCAGAACGUACUGUGUCUGAUACCAACUGAUAGAGAGGCAGAAGUUUUAUUAACGAAUUCAAACUCAAACUCUCCAGGAGAAUUUGAAUUCAAGCUCGGAUCUCGUUCUCGACGAAACAGUCGACGAAAACAAUAGUUUAAGAGUUCUCCUCUUGAAGCUAAGAUAGCUCGAUUUGCAAAAGCAAUGUAUUAAAUUCAACGUGUGAACUACAAAGGUCUUAAGGAGAAUAUAUAUACAACCUAAAUAGAUAACUCCUAAUCAUAACUGGAAAAUAACUUGUAAUUAUCUCUGAAAUAAAAGAAAACCAAAAUAACUAGAAUAUCCUUUGCUUGGCGCGCAAGUAAGACGAACAGCUUGUAAGUCUUCAACGGCUAAUAGAUGCGCUGCAUCACAAACACACUGUAAUCAAUUGUGCCUGAGUUCCAUAUAAACAAACCCAGAUACAAUAAAAGUUAAAACAAACCCAGAGACAUUUAAACAAACCCAGAGACAUUAUGCAAUCAGCACAUUAAUCGAAUCCGAAAACCGCGAAAAAAUCUUUUCGUAGAGAGAAACCAACAUUGAUACUGUUAUAAAUCACCAAAGUUGCUACUAUCAUGGAAAAAAAGAUUAUUUAUAGAUGGGGACAACCAAGAGUGGGCCAGAAAAUACAUUUUAUUAUUCUAAAAGUAGAUUGAAAAACAUUUUUUUGAAAGAAUAUACUGUUUCUAACUUAUGAAAUUACCUUCAACGGUGGAAACGAGAGAGAGAGGUCAAGAGUGGAGACGAGAGCAAGCUGGGUGACGACGGCGUGUAGUCCUUUCAAAGUGUCCAAAACAUGGUUUUUGCCCACGCUGGGGUUUCAUACUUUUCAUUUUUAAUAUCAUUUUGUUAUGUUGCAUUUAUAUAUAAUGUUUAAAUUUGAGUAGAGUGCUCAGGUACUCUUAAUGAGGCAAAAAGUGAGCUGGCGUACUCUCACGUGAUCUGUCAUACUCUUAUCCAUUCACAUACUCUUGGAGAGAGUGGUUGAUUACGAAAGUACCCUCACUGAUUUAAUGAAUAAAUUAAUAUUAAUCGAAUCAUUCUCUAUUCUUCUCUCUCCUCCUCGCCGCUCGAUUCCGACUAAUCCAUAAUCCAGGGCUCGGUCGUCGUCGAAUCGUCUCGUCGAGUCUUCUUCUCGACUCCUCCCUCCUUGUUCAUCGAAUUGCGAUCUUGGAUGCUGGAUCAUUGAGCUAUUAAUUCAGUUUUACAGGGUAUGUAUCUCAAAUCGUCGUUAAGACCGAUGUAUAGAAUCGAUAGAAUCCACCAUAGACGAACUCAUUAGAUAGAAGAUUUCGUAUUUGUGUAUGAACUAAUUGAGGAUCGGAAAGUUUGAAUGGUCUGUUUAUUAGGGAAUUCGAUAACCAACAACUGUAUAAUUGAAUGGAGAGUCGGGAAUCAAAGCUGAUUACAAUUUGGUUUUGAAUUGAAGUAUUCUUAUUCAUUUGGUUUUCAUGAACUAGUCGAGGAUCGGAAAGGAAUGGAGGAAUGAUUGAAUGAAUACUCUGAAAAAUAUUCAUAUUCUUAUUCAUAGACGUUCACGAGUUCACUGAUUACUUAAUUGAUUACUGACACAGCUCUGUGACAUGGUAUAACUAAGUAUAACUUUAAUGCUAUAACUAAGUAACCAAGUGUAACUUUAAGGGGUUUUUUCUAUUGCAGACAAUGUGUCCUUUUUCGACGAACAUACACUUUGAUUAUGAUGGACGUUAUUCAAAGGAUGGAGAUGAUUAUGAAUGGAUUCCAACCGAUGCUCGUUUGUAUGUUAUAUCCUUUUAAGACAUCAUCGGUGGAGGAGAUCACUUAUUCGUUGUUGAAGGAGAGGAUAUGCAGGAAGAUGGGAAUAGAUCCAUUUGCGAAGAGGCUCAAUUUGGGUUACAUUCCAUUGGUUGUUGAACCUAAGAGGCAAUCAUAUAUUUUGGAUGAUGAAGAUGUGUAUGUUUAUCUAACAUCAGUGGAUAGAGAGCAAAGAAGAAGUAUUUUGCAUGUGGAGGACAUCGAAAAAUUGCAAAUAGUUCGAAUAACCGAGCAACUGUCAGGAGUUGGAGAGAUCUCUUGUAGUAGGAACUAUUGUGAGCGUGAGAGUGGAUAUGGAGAAGAAAAGAAUGUAGGCACUGGUUUGGAACACGGUGAACAUCCCCACAAGAAACAUAAGAAGAGUAGGUUGUAAUCCUUUCGUUUCAGUUUUGAUGUGGAUCGGGCUGUAAGCCUUUCACUUUCAGUUUUGGUGUUUUUAUCGAAUGGGAUCGUUGUGAGCCGAAAUAAAAUAAUUUAUAUUUGUGUGUUGAUGAGUAAAGUGAAAGUAGUUUUCUAUACUGGUAUAACUACGAUAGGUAAACUUAGUAUGACUAUGAGCAGGGGAGGUGUUGAAUCUUUCAUUCAACAGUUGAAUGAUCACAAUGGAAGUGGUGAAUAUGGGUGUUGAAAUGAGGUGGAUUCAUUUGUGUUAGAAAGUUUUCACCCAUGUUGAAAAAUGAUUAUGGUGGGGACACACACCACAUGUUAUAUUCUUAGUUGUUGUUAAGGUUUUUUGCUUUUUUUUUUUCACAAUAUAUGUUUUUGUGUUUAUUUUAUGCUAUUCUUUUAUAUUUUUACACAAAUUAUCUACAAAUGGAGACUAAUUUUGUUUAAUUUGGAUAUAUAAACAAAAUAAUUAUUAAUUAUUAAAAUAGAGUGUUGAAUUUUAUUCAACAAAACAAUUGAAUCUUAAAACCAUAGUACAUAUAUUGAAUAAAGUGGAGCAAAACUUCAAAAUGAGGAUUUGAGGGUUGAUCACUCCAACCACGAAACCUCAAAAAAAAAACAAAUCUUUAUUAUUUAUUUACACUAUGUGUGAGCUUUGUAAAUUCUAAACUUUUUAAUUUUAUAAGUCAUGAAAGUAGCAAGACUGUAAUGUAUUAUUUAUUAUUAAUGUUAUGUUGGUUAUUAUUUAAUCGGAAUUAUUAAAAUUCCAUCUCGUCGUUUGGUAGCAAUCAUAUGGGAAAUACAUUGUGUUAGCAUAGCUUUAUCACUAAAACCGACCUCGUUAGAUUUGAUAACUCUCUAUGGCACCAAAUCAAGUUUAUGUGUACGCGAUCGUAUGAGAAAUGAACAUAGGAAACACAAUUGCAUUGGUAUAACCAUAAAAUCACCAAUUCAAGUCGAGUAUAACUAAGAUUAAUGAAAAUAAUUAAAAAGUACAACUUUGAUGCAUUCUGUGAAACUUAGUACCUGUUGAAACUUAGACCACGAAAAACCCUGAUAUUUCUUUUCCCGCCCAGCUUUUCGAAUUUCUAAUUUCUCUCUUCCUAAUUUGCUAAACCCCAAAAUCGUAUAAAAGACCUUUUUUUUUAGGUUUUCCCCAUAUCUAUCUCCAACUUCCUCUCUCAUCUGCUCGGCUCCUCUCUCUCUAUCUCAACUCCAACUUUUCCGUCAGAUAAUGUCGUCCAACCCAAUAACGGCCGCUUCAUCGUCCACGACCGGAGAUAUUACCGGUGGUCGGAGACGAGUAAGAACUGCGGGAAUACCUACUAAAUGUUCGUGCGGAGCGAGAAUCGUCGAGUUAAUAUCCAAAUCGACGCCAAAUCCAUACCGCCGGUAUUAUCGGUGUCACCAUGCGGCUUCACUUAGGGUAUUAUCGGUCUCUCUAUGUUCUCUUAAGCUGCUUGUUUAAUUUUUUUUACAUAAUGUUGUGGGAUCUAAUAUUGUAGCUGGAGAACGACGACCACGUCUUCAAAUGGGUCGACGAAGCUUUCACCGAUGAGAUUCAACAGUUGGACUACCAUGUUCGAAUCCUAGAAGAAGAAGUUCAAUUGCUCAAAGCAACAAUAAGGAGCGAAGGUCCGAAAAAAACGGCUAAGAUAUCAGGAUGCUGUGUCCCUGUUAUUGUUGGCAUCAGUGUCGUUGUAGUUCUAGCCGGUAUUCAUCUUGUACCCCUACAUAAAUAAAUAAAGUAUAAGGAUCAAAUUUUUGUUUGUCACGGUUAAAUGUUAAGAAAAACUCGAGAGAUGAUGAUAUAACACUUACAUCUUCAUCUGCUAGGACAUAGGUAUAGUAAGGUCCACUGUUUGUAACGUAGGAAUGGAAAGAGUAGAUCCUGUGUAAUUUGACUCUGAAACGCCAAGCCACGAGCCUGGGAUAAGAAACCGCCGAAACCUCUGAAAGCUUGUUGUAGAAUGCCAUCUUGUUUGUAGAGAGACGAGAGAGAGAGAUUCGAUGAGAGAAGAGAGAGUUUCGAGAAGAGACCAGAGAAGUUGAGAUAAGAGAGGAGACGAUUUAUUCGAUUUAAACUUCUUAACUUCAAAACUCUUUAACUUCCUGUGGAGUUUCAAUUUUCAAAGCAACUGUAGAGGAGAAGAGUCACAAGUGUAAUGAUUAUUAUAAGAGACUUUUUCAAGGGAUUAAUUGUGUUCUUUCGAGGAGUCCAUCAAUAUCUACCACAUAAGUGUUAUACAACUAAAUCAGUUUGUUUCACGUAUUUUCACUAAAUCAGUUCGUACACUAAAUCACGUAGUUUCACUAAAUGUUACACAACUAAAUCAGUUUGUUUCACGUAGUUUCACUAAAUGUUACACAACUAAAUCAGUUUGUUUCACGUAGUUUUACUAAAUGUUACACAACUAAACUGAUGGAGAAGGUGAUGAUGAUAGUAGACGGUGUAGUGUUGUGGCGUUUAAAUGCAAGUGUAAUGAUUAUUACAAGAGACUUUUUCAUGAGAGAAGUCGUGUCUUCUCGAGGAGUCCAUCAAAUCACCCAUAAUUACAGGUUUUUCUCAAAUCUUAAUAUUACCAUUUUCAUUUAAUAUAUCAGAUCGUUUUGGAUACUGAUCAACUCUUGCAAAAUAUAACAAUAAAAUAUCUAAAUUUCGUUACGUUUUACAUAGUUUCAAAUAUUUAUGCAAUCUAAAUUCUGAACUUUUUCUUAGUUUCAUAACUUUAGACAAUCUAAAAGCACUUAGUUUCACUUACUUAUAUAUAGUUGUAUAUCUUAAUAAAUUAAAGUUAUACAAAGUUACAGUUUAGUUCCAAGAGAUGCGAGUGUCAGAAGGCGUGUGAGAGAAGUCAUGUUCUUUAGAGGAGUCCAUCGAAUCACCCAUAAUUACAAGUUUUUCUCAAAUCUUAAUAUUACCAUUUUCAUUUAAUAUAUCGUAUACAUGCUACUUGCUUUCAUUAUAUCCACAUCAAGUCACCCUUACAGUAUAAUUAAAUAUAUCCACUAAGUAUAAUUAGUUUUGGAUACUGAUCAACUCUUACAAAAUAUAUUCCAAAUUAUAACAAUAAAAUAUCUAAAUUUCGUUACGUUUUACAUAGUUUCAAAUAUUUGUGCAAUCUAAAUUCUAAACUUUUUCUUAGUUUCAUAAAUUUAGACAAUCUAAAAUCACUUAGUUUCACAUACUUAUAUAUAGUUAUAUAUCUUAAUAAAUUAAAGUUAUACAAAGUUACAGUUCAGUUCCAAGAGAUGCGAGUGUAGAUAAUCAAAAGGCGUGUGAGAGAAGUCGUGUCUUCUCGAGGAGUCCAUCAUAUCACACUUAAAUGGAUACGCUUCUUUUAAUUAGGGUGAGUGGUUCACUAAAUUUUAAGGGUUUAUCACUUCUACAAAUUUGUGAUUUCUCUCACACAUUAACCGUUUUCUUUUAUCAGAAUUAGACAUGGAGAACUUGAACUUGGCUUCUCUCCCUCCUAUAAUGCUUCAUAAGAUUCUCUCUAAGGUGGCAACGAAGAGUAUCCGAGACUUUGGUUCUUCAAGGAUUGCUUUUCCCGGGUUCAACGAAGUUGGAAGAGAUGAUUACUUCUACAGAUCGGCCAAUCUCAUUUACCUGAAUGACUGGGUAGACGAGGUCAAUGCUGUUCGGACUUUCAAGCUUAAAUGCUACCGUUUGGGUAAUCCAGAGGCCAUCUACCUGAGAGGUAUGAACGAGUACUUCUUCCUCCAUUUACUUGAUGAAAGAAGGGAAAAAAAUACAUCGUGCUGGUGAGAGAGGGUGCGUGUUGGCACAAUUUGUAGAUGCUAUGCUGAACUUAGCCUUUAGCGUUGAUGGUAGAGGAAUUGUUCACAACUACCCUGCUUUUACUCGUCAACAUGUUGAUGAGAUGUUUCAAAUCAUCAAUAGUUGGGAUCUCACAGGCUAUUGGAAUUACGAAAAACCUCCCAUGUUUCUAUCUGUGGCUGAAAGGAUAGAUCCUAAUGUGCCACAUGAUUGCUGGUUCUCCAACCUAGACCCUCCAAUGUUUGUAGUUUCCCUAAAUGGAUCAAGAUUACAUUGAAAAUGCGAUCGUUGUUUCUGGAAUUGUGCAGCUUGGGACUUCUGCAAUGACAUACACUUGACUGCUUGUGCCUGGCCCGUUGAAGAUUAGUUGUGUGUUUAUCACAUAGAAGUUUUAUCUACUUUUACUAAGUUGUUAUGUAAAUUACUCUUCACAAUAUGCUCUGUUAUUUCUCUAGUUAUAGCUAUAAACAUAAUAUACUUUCUCUGGUUAUAUAUAUAAACUAAUUUUUUUUAUUUGAACUUCAAUAAAUAUAUCAAUAAUAACAAUUGUGGACUCUAAAAGUACGACUUAGUUCAAUUUAGGAUAACUUCAAUUUAUUAGUUGAAUUUUUAUUAUUCUGCACAGUUACACCAAGGUUUACGAUUACACCAAGUCUUACAAAGGUUUCGAAAGUUAUGGAGAAACAGAUCCGAAUUUUAUGUAUCGGAUCUGGAUAGUCCGCGAAAUGACUCUGGUUAGAUUGUGUGUAUGUUUGUUGAAGAUUUAUUACGAUGUACAGUUUCACCAAUGUUGACAAUUUCACCAACUCUUACAAAGGUUUCAGAAGUUAUGGAGAAAGAUAUCUGAUUUUGGAUGGUCCGCGAAAUGGUCCUGGUUGGGUUGUAAUUAUGCAAGUUUCUGUUGGCCAUGUGGUCUUUUAAUAAAUUUUCGAAUUAAAAUAAAGAUAUAUUUAAUUGAAAAUCCGGUCAGUUUCGGCAGGAGUAUCUCGGCUCUUUUUUUUUCGGGCAGGAGUACCUGAGCGUUUGAUUCUUUAAAUUUAUUUUGAUGUUUUUUUUUCAUUCACACUAAUAACAAUUUAUUUAAAAUGUGUUGUUAAAAAAAAUUAUUUAAAAUGUAACAGACUUAUUUGAUUGGAAUUUGUUCAUCUACUUAUACUGAAAUAAUGUAAGGUUUACAUAUAAAUUCGAAUGCUUUAUGUCAUUUUUUCGUUAGUGGGUUGAUUUUUAACGUUUCGUGCAUUUUUAUUUUUUUGAAUAUUUUUAUUCUCUAGAGUCUAUGACUUUGAGCUUUCAAAAAGGUCACAAAAUUCACAACAAAACUUUAUACCGAUUGGGUUUUGACCAAAAAAAACAACUUUUUACCGAUUGGGUAUUUAAUGUUGUUGGAGUAGUGUAUUUUGCUACAACUCGGCGUGUUUCACGUUUAAGAUGUCACACCUCAUAAAUAAAGUGAAUAAGGUGACUUCUUAGUUUUCCCUAAUCAACUAAAACAUUAUAACUAUAAUAAUAUCUUAAAUGUGACCGUUACAAAAAUAUAUAAAAAGGCAACAAGUAGCAACAAAAAACGGCAUGGCAGGUAACUGAUGGUCUGUACUAUUCAGCAUGAUUAAGAAAAAAUAAACUGAAAUAGUUUUGACUAAGAAACGGAUUCAAGGUGCAGAUGUGUUUGGUUGGAAAACCUCGGUGUGGAAUACAUGUGCCACCUCUAUAAAUACCGUGAAUGAGGGGUAAGCUUUCCUUAAACAAAACAUAACUUGUUAUAGUUCUCAAUUUUAAUUAUUUUCUUGAAUAGUGCGCGAAAUGAAUUCAAGAUUCAUCCGUUCGAUUUCUUCGUCAAGGUUCUUCUAACCAAUUCAUCCUUCACAUCACAUGAUUGUGUAUGCUAAUUUGACUUAGAUGUAUGUAUUUAUCUUAUGUAUUUUUCUAUACAUGCGAUCGAUGCAGGUCUGAUGGGAAGAGUGAAAAUGAAAUGAACAACCUUGAUGAAGAGAGAAGUAAUAACACGGGUGUGAGUAUCUUAAGUAUGAGGGGAGGUGAUGGACACAAUAGUUACGCCACUAACUCUCUUCUUCAGAGAAGAGUUUUAUCAAUGAGCAAGCCCAUAUUGGUUAAAAACACCAAAGAAAUGAUGACAAACUUGGACUUUCCCAAAUGCAUUAAAAUAUCAGAUUUGGGCUGUUCUUCUGGACAAAACACAUUUUUGGCGAUGUCUGAGAUCGUCAACACAAUUAAUGAGUUAUGUCAAGAACGGAACCAAAACACGCCAGAGAUAGAUUGUUGUCUAAACGAUCUCCCUGGUAAUGAUUUCAACACGACGUUCAAAUUCAUAAGUUUCUUCAACGAAAAGCUCACACGCAAUACACCAUGCUUUGUCUCUGGAGUACCUGGUUCCUUUUACUCAAGGCUCUUUCCUAGCAAGAGCCUCCAUUUCAUUCAUUCAAAUUACAGUGUUAAUUACCCCUCUAAGGUUCCGGAAGGACUGGAGAAGAACAAGAUGGGUGUGUACAUAACAAGUUCAAGUCCUCUAAGUGAAUACAAGGCUUACUUGAAACAAUUCCAAAAAGAUUUUACGACAUUUUUAAGAAUGCGGUCUGAAGAGAUGGUAUCUAAUGGACGCAUGGUUAUCACAUUAUUCGGCAGAAACACUAUAGAUGAUCCGUUGUACAGGGACUGUUGUCAUCAUUUGACAUUGUUAUCCGAUUCUCUCCGCGACCUAGUCAUCGAGGGACUUGUGAGUGCAUCAACCGUGAAUUCAUUCAACAUGCCAUUUUAUGAUCCCACCGAAGAAGAAGUAAACGAAAUUAUUAGAAAUGAGGGGUCAUUCCAAAUAAACGACUUAGAGACACAUGCAUUUGAUCUUGGCCAUAGUAAGGCAGAAAGUAGCUUGCAAUCAUGUAGAGCUAAACCAGGGGAAAAAGAGGCUAAUUGCGUUAGAGCAGCGAUUGAAACGAUGCUCGUAGCUCACUUUGGAGAUGCCAUUAGUAUCGAUACAUUGUUUGCAAAAUAUGCACACCAUGUUUCUCAACAUGCUAGCUGCAUGAACAAAACGUCUGUCACUCUAGUGGUUUCAUUGGUUCGGAAAUAAUCUUACUAUACAUCAAGGAAUUAAAAAAAAUACAUCAAGGAAUAACUUGUUUAAUGCUCAUUAUUUGCUAUGCCUCCAAUUAAAAAAACAACUUGACACAAACCAUUUAUAUACCACUUCAAAUUUUUAUAUUUUCAGUAUAUAAAUAUUUUAUAUUUUUAAUGAUUAAAAUUAUGAUAUCGUACCCUUAUUUAAUUUAUAAAUUUAUUCCAUGGCAAAGUGUAUUUACUUAGAUAGUUCCAUCACUCCAUGUUACUAUGUGAGAAGGAACAAUUAUGGUUUUAUUGAAAACAUUACAUGCGUAAACAAUACUGCUAGCGAGCAUUAUAUAGUUCUUCUCUUUCUCACAGAAAAUAACUAGUAUCAUUCUUCAUGACAAGGUUUAAUAUAUUCCUAACUGUUACGCUAAGUUUUCUUGUCCUCGUAUAUUCCGGCUGGCUGAUAUUCUCGUUCCCUAGUCUUCGGUUCUACUUUACGACCAGUUUCAUAUUGCAUCGUCUUUGAUUCUCUACCUAUGACUAUAGUAUAUGAGUUUUCAAAAAGGUCACAAAAUGCAUGCAAAAUUUUAUACUGAUUGGGUAUUAAUGUUUGAGUAGUGUAUUUUGCAACAACUCGGCGUGUUUUGGAUUUAAGAUGUCACGCCUCAUAAAUAAAGGGAAUAAGGUGAUUUCUCAUCAAUUAUCUCCCAAAUCAACUAAGGCCAUCUUUAUCGGAGUAUUUAAAAGGGUCCUUAGACCAUCAUUAUCGCUGGUUCUUAGGUGGGCUCUUAAGCCUAAGUUUAAUUAAAAAAAUUAAAAAAAAUUUUUUUGAUAAGAGGCGGGUGUCUGAAAAGCUUACGGAAGAACCAACUCUUGCUUUGCCUCUUCGUCUUUCUUUCUUCUUUUCACACAGAAUCUCUUUUUCUCAGACCAAAUUCAGAGAAAAUCAACCUCGACAGAGAAGAUCUCUUCUUCUUCUUCGCCUCUGUGGCUGUGGUUGUGCAGCCCGCGAUGGACGACAAUAACUCUGUCUACGUCGGAGGCUUCCCUUACGACAUCACCGAUGAAGCUCUCCCUUACGCAGACAAAGAAAUAGUUUAUGAGAAUUCACAUGGUUUUGAGAGGAGAGGUGAUGAUGUGUUGGAUAGGAAUGGUUACAAAGAGAGUUUUUGGAGGUGGAGAAGAAGGAGAUUGGCGUGGGAGAGUGGUCCCACUAAAAAUAUUAAAAAAUGAUUAAGAAUUCCUAAAUGUCUCUUAGGGAUAAUCAUGCUCUUAGAGCAGCAUUAUUGAUAAUCUCUUAAGAGAGUACCUGAACAAAAAAUAAAAUUAAAUACAUUAAAUGAUGAAAGAGAAGAAUGGAUUGAAGAACGCUUAUUUGUAAGGAGAUUUUGACCGAAUGGGAAAAAAUGAGCUCCACAGCUGUCUCUCAUCUAUUAGUGCUCUAAUUUUUUAGAGAUUAAAAUUUAAUUCAAUAAAUCAUAUCUGUUGAAAUACUAGUAUAAAUAUAUGAGAAACAAUGUUUGAGAGACUAAACCAAUGUGGAUGCUCUUAGAGGGGGUUUAAAGGGUUUGGGCCCCACAAAAGCAUAAGACUCAAUCCUAUUACACCUUUAACACCCGGAUACCCGACCAUGAACUAGCGAUCAGUCAAUAUAAUGAUCUCACUCAUUGCCACACACGUCAAACCAUAGACUUAACCGACUCGACAUACAAGACCGACUCAAUCUUAUGACACCUUUAACACCCAGAUACCCGACCAUGAACUAAGAACUCUACAAUGCACGUUUUUAUAUCCCGCCUCUCGCGGCUGGCUCGUCUUCUCUUUUCUCCGUGGGUAGCUCUCGCUAGACCACUACCCCAUAUUCUUGUGGAUUCCACCACAGCUCCUUAUUAAAGUGAAGCAAGACAAGGAGAUGUGAAGGCCAAGCAUCUCCACACCAAACUAAAGAAGAAGAAGCUAUCCAAGCCAUGAACAAGCCUCAAGAGAGUGAUCACACGGCCAAGAAAAUGAAAAGAUGAUCAAGGCGUGUGUGCAAGAAGAGAAGGAGGCUGUAGAGUCAUGAAGUGUGUUGCAAGUAUUCAAGACUUGUGCAUCAAGGAAAGGAGCCAACAAAUGAAACAAGAAGCAAGCCAUUAUGGAUUCAAGGCAAGUAGAAGAAAAGAUGCUGCAUUGACUUGAAAUGGAAGUUUGUCCAUUCAGACUUGAUCCACAAGCUACCAUAUUGACCUAACUUACCUUGCAAGGCAAGAAUAGAGUUGUGUAGACUUAAUAAGGGACGUUGGAAACCUCCAAGAUGUCAAGGAAACCUGUUUGAAUUUAAAUAUGAAAGGCUGGUUUCCUUGUGAAGAGAAAAAUCACAUGGGUGCAUAAGAAAGGGAGCUGGGCUGUCACUAUCAACCUAAGGAGACUGUGCCCCUCCUCCUGUCCCUUUCUACUCUUCCUGGACGUGCCAUACCUUGGCUGUAUCUCCUUUGGCAUGUUCUGGUUCCCUACAUAAUUAUUUGUUUAUGUUUCCAUGUUUUAAUAAUUGUUUAGUCUUGUGUAUUGCCUAUUUAAAGGCUUCUCCAUCACUUGUACGUAAUAAUUAUCCAGUAUCAAUACAAGUUCUCUCAGUUUAUUUUCGUGGCUCUCUCUCCCUUACUUGUGUCUAAACAAUACUCACAAUGUAAGGAUCUUAGAGUUAUGGUUUAGAGGCUGUCUUAACUUUCUUUCUCUUAAGGCAGCCUAAUACUUGUAAAACCUCACUCUAAACUCUUCUUUUAUUUAUCUUAAACUCUAGCUUACUGAUUCUAAUUCCUAUUCUCCUUAAGUGAACAAACUGAAAGUGUUGUGUCACUUCUCAAGGAAUAGAUUCAAACUAGAGUCUUUAAUCUGUUCUUAGUUUAAUUCUAAUUAUUGUAUCAAUCUCACAGCCACUUAAUCUCUCUAGAUUCAGAUGGUUGUGUAGAUUAUUUUGCUGAGAGGAUUCAAUCACAAGUUGAUUGUCUCUUCCAUUCUUAAAGAGUGAGUUCAUUUCUUAGCUAUUCAUAGCUUUUCCAACACUCCUAUGGGUGCCUAGCGUAGAACUACUACCCCACGUACUCCCUCUAGACUCUAUAUGAUUCCCUUAACUCAUGCUUAACCUUAACGUUAUUCACUUAUACACUCACUUAUCCUUUCACAUCCUUAUUCACUUUCACUUAUCCAUUCUCAUUCUCAUUCACUUUCCUUUACACUUAGACUCGUACUUGAACUCCUUCACUAGACGCAAACCGUUAUCGGUGUCACACACAUUAUACAUUGCACUCAAGUUCUACUUAUAGUAGCAUUAACAAUCAAUAGUCAUCUAUUAUCUUAGCAUUCGUUUCUUACUAGUCUCCUAGCUUUCAUUCACAAUCAACAUAUGGGAGUACACAAGCCAAUCAUACAAGUAUCAUUUACCAAUCAAUCAUCACCACAACAACAAAAGACAGUUCAUUAAGUCCCAUUUAACAGUAUGAGGGUUCUUAUGCAUCAUGAUCCAUUCAUCUAUCAACCUAGUAAUAAACAUGUUCUAUCAACCUAGCUCUCAAACAAGGUCUAAUCAAACCUAACUCUAACAUAAAGGAGUAUACAGUACAUGGGAACAAGAUGGGUUCAAGACACUCCACCUUAGCCUAGAUCUGGAUCCGGAUCUGAAACAAGAGACAAAGGGGAUGAGAUCUGGAACAAGUAAACAAGAGAGCUGCGAGAUCUGACCACCGCCACCAAUCGGCUGCAACCGCCACGACCACCACCACACGGCACCGGCGAGGAGGAGGGAGAGAGGAGAGAGAUCACGGAGAGAGAGAGAGAAGAAGAGAGACGGCUCAGGGGAGAGAGAGCUCGACGGUUAGGGUUUUCGGUCUCCGGGAAUUCUCUGCAGAGCUUCGCUUCAGUUUCUCCAUGAGACAAAAGAAGGGGCUGCAACUCAUUUUAUAGGAAAAUGUGAAGGGAACCCUAGGUUUUUGUCAAAUGGGCCGUAGAAGGGUCCAUUCCUUUAUGAAACUUGUUGGGCCAGGAACCGGGCCGUUACAAUUCUCCCCCACUUGAAUGGAAUUCGUCCCCGAAUUCCGUGUGUCGAUACUCCAACUCUAACAUCUCGAACCCAAAUGGGUAAACAACUCGUCCUUUGAAAUCUAAUGGUUCAUGCAACAGACCAGGUUCCAUAUUCCUCACGGAGAUCAACCGUCCUCUUAAAUCCCAAAUCGAUUCUCCAACAGCGUUCUCAUCUCUAGAUUGCUUUCAUCUCAUAUGCAUUUCUAUAUCACCAGCACUCUUGUCGACGUAAUUCUCUGAUGGUCAUGUACCUCUUCUAUCCUUUCAUAAAGCAGCUCAUCAUCAACAAUUAUAUCUGCUAAGCGGUUUCCUGGAUCAUCUCAGGCUCGAGAUUCUGCCUCCCACACUUUGGUCCAACAUAAGAGAUUCAACAUGGUUGUUCACACAAUUCUCAUAGGGGAUAUCCAUUUGCUCGAGUCGUAGCUAAUGUCUUGCAUGGAUUCAACUAUUAUCAGAUCCAUUAACCAACUUCCUCUCUAAGCUCAACACACAUGUACACCACAUAGGUUGAUUGCCAUGUCCUUGGCGACCCAACAACAAAAAUAUAUUGUUAUCAUAUUCCAUUUCUAUUUUGACACAUACAACUCUUGCAUCAAUCAUAUACGGCCUCACACCCCACUAUUCUCAACUAACAA